rnacentral:rRNA from 1 species
GAUGAACGCUGGCGGCGUGCUUAACACAUGCAAGUCGAACGGUGAACGAGGGAGCUUGCUCCCUCCGGAUCAGUGGCGAACGGGUGAGUAACACGUGAGCAAUCUGCCCUGGACUCUGGGAUAAGCGUUGGAAACGACGUCUAAUACCGGAUACGAGGCGUGGGGGCAUCCCCAACGCCUGGAAAGAACUUCGGUCCAGGAUGAGCUCGCGGCCUAUCAGCUAGUUGGUGAGGUAACGGGUCACCAAGGCGACGACGGGUAGCCGGCCUGAGAGGGUGACCGGCGACCCUGGGACUGAGACACGGCCCAGACUCCUACGGGAGGCAGCAGUGGGGAAUAUUGCACAAUGGGCGCAAGCCUGAUGCAGCAACGCCGCGUGAGGGACGACGGCCUUCGGGUUGUAAACCUCUUUUAGCAGGGAAGAAGCGAAAGUGACGGUACCUGCAGAAAAAGCACCGGCUAACUACGUGCCAGCCGCCGCGGUAAGAC